rnacentral:rRNA from 1 species
GAUAAACGCUGGCGGCGUGCUUAACACAUGCAAGUCGAACGAAGAUUUUGUAUCUUGCUGAACUAAGUGACGGACGCGCGGGUAACUCGUGUGUAACCUGCCCUCUACAGACUGAGAACAGCCGGAAACGGCCGCUAAUUCAUCACAAACACUUAGCACCGCAUUAUGCAGAGGGAAGAGGAGCAAUCCGGUACAGGAUGGACCCGCGUCUGAUUAGCCAGUUGGCAGGGUAACGGCCUACCAAAGCGACGAGCAGUAGCCGGUCUGAGAGGAUGUACGGUCACAUUGGGACUGAGACACGGCCCAGACUCCUACGGGAGGCAGCAGUAGGGAAUAUUGCACAAUGGAGGAAACUCUGAUGCAGCGACGCCGCGUGAGUGAAGAAGUUUUUCGGUAUGUAAAGCCCUAUUCGCAGGAAAGAAAAAGGCGGUACCCCAAUAAGUAGCCCCCGCCUAACACCUU